GGGUUGUGAGGUUAAGCGACUAAGCGUACACGGUGGAUGCCCUGGCAGUCAGAGGCGAUGAAGGACGUGCUAAUCUGCGAUAAGCGUCGGUAAGGUGAUAUGAACCGUUAUAACCGGCGAUUUCCGAAUGGGGAAACCCAGUGUGUUUCGACACACUAUCAUUAACUGAAUCCAUAGGUUAAUGAGGCGAACCGGGGGAACUGAAACAUCUAAGUACCCCGAGGAAAAGAAAUCAACCGAGAUUCCCCCAGUAGCGGCGAGCGAACGGGGAGCAGCCCAGAGCCUGAAUCAGUGUGUGUGUUAGUGGAAGCGUCUGGAAAGGCGCGCGAUACAGGGUGACAGCCCCGUACACAAAAAUGCACAUGCUGUGAGCUCGAUGAGUAGGGCGGGACACGUGGUAUCCUGUCUGAAUAUGGGGGACCAUCCUCCAAGGCUAAAUACUCCUGACUGACCGAUAGUGAACCAGUACCGUGAGGGAAAGGCGAAAAGAACCCCGGCGAGGGGAGUGAAAAAGAACCUGAAACCGUGUACGUACAAGCAGUGGGAGCACGCUUAGGCGUGUGACUGCGUACCUUUUGUAUAAUGGGUCAGCGACUUAUAUUCUGUAGCAAGGUUAACCGAAUAGGGGAGCCGAAGGGAAACCGAGUCUUAACUGGGCGUUAAGUUGCAGGGUAUAGACCCGAAACCCGGUGAUCUAGCCAUGGGCAGGUUGAAGGUUGGGUAACACUAACUGGAGGACCGAACCGACUAAUGUUGAAAAAUUAGCGGAUGACUUGUGGCUGGGGGUGAAAGGCCAAUCAAACCGGGAGAUAGCUGGUUCUCCCCGAAAGCUAUUUAGGUAGCGCCUCGUGAAUUCAUCUCCGGGGGUAGAGCACUGUUUCGGCAAGGGGGUCAUCCCGACUUACCAACCCGAUGCAAACUGCGAAUACCGGAGAAUGUUAUCACGGGAGACACACGGCGGGUGCUAACGUCCGUCGUGAAGAGGGAAACAACCCAGACCGCCAGCUAAGGUCCCAAAGUCAUGGUUAAGUGGGAAACGAUGUGGGAAGGCCCAGACAGCCAGGAUGUUGGCUUAGAAGCAGCCAUCAUUUAAAGAAAGCGUAAUAGCUCACUGGUCGAGUCGGCCUGCGCGGAAGAUGUAACGGGGCUAAACCAUGCACCGAAGCUGCGGCAGCGACGCUGAUGCGUUGUUGGGUAGGGGAGCGUUCUGUAAGCCUGCGAAGGUGUGCUGUGAGGCAUGCUGGAGGUAUCAGAAGUGCGAAUGCUGACAUAAGUAACGAUAAAGCGGGUGAAAAGCCCGCUCGCCGGAAGACCAAGGGUUCCUGUCCAACGUUAAUCGGGGCAGGGUGAGUCGACCCCUAAGGCGAGGCCGAAAGGCGUAGUCGAUGGGAAACAGGUUAAUAUUCCUGUACUUGGUGUUACUGCGAAGGGGGACGGAGAAGGCUAUGUUGGCCGGGCGACGGUUGUCCCGGUUUAAGCGUGUAGGCUGGUUUUCCAGGCAAAUCCGGAAAAUCAAGGCUGAGGCGUGAUGACGAGGCACUACGGUGCUGAAGCAACAAAUGCCCUGCUUCCAGGAAAAGCCUCUAAGCAUCAGGUAACAUCAAAUCGUACCCCAAACCGACACAGGUGGUCAGGUAGAGAAUACCAAGGCGCUUGAGAGAACUCGGGUGAAGGAACUAGGCAAAAUGGUGCCGUAACUUCGGGAGAAGGCACGCUGAUAUGUAGGUGAAGUCCCUUGCGGAUGGAGCUGAAAUCAGUCGAAGAUACCAGCUGGCUGCAACUGUUUAUUAAAAACACAGCACUGUGCAAACACGAAAGUGGACGUAUACGGUGUGACGCCUGCCCGGUGCCGGAAGGUUAAUUGAUGGGGUUAGCCGCAAGGCGAAGCUCUUGAUCGAAGCCCCGGUAAACGGCGGCCGUAACUAUAACGGUCCUAAGGUAGCGAAAUUCCUUGUCGGGUAAGUUCCGACCUGCACGAAUGGCGUAAUGAUGGCCAGGCUGUCUCCACCCGAGACUCAGUGAAAUUGAACUCGCUGUGAAGAUGCAGUGUACCCGCGGCAAGACGGAAAGACCCCGUGAACCUUUACUAUAGCUUGACACUGAACAUUGAGCCUUGAUGUGUAGGAUAGGUGGGAGGCUUAGAAGUGUGGACGCCAGUCUGCAUGGAGCCGACCUUGAAAUACCACCCUUUAAUGUUUGAUGUUCUAACGUUGACCCGUAAUCCGGGUUGCGGACAGUGUCUGGUGGGUAGUUUGACUGGGGCGGUCUCCUCCUAAAGAGUAACGGAGGAGCACGAAGGUUGGCUAAUCCUGGUCGGACAUCAGGAGGUUAGUGCAAUGGCAUAAGCCAGCUUGACUGCGAGCGUGACGGCGCGAGCAGGUGCGAAAGCAGGUCAUAGUGAUCCGGUGGUUCUGAAUGGAAGGGCCAUCGCUCAACGGAUAAAAGGUACUCCGGGGAUAACAGGCUGAUACCGCCCAAGAGUUCAUAUCGACGGCGGUGUUUGGCACCUCGAUGUCGGCUCAUCACAUCCUGGGGCUGAAGUAGGUCCCAAGGGUAUGGCUGUUCGCCAUUUAAAGUGGUACGCGAGCUGGGUUUAGAACGUCGUGAGACAGUUCGGUCCCUAUCUGCCGUGGGCGCUGGAGAACUGAGGGGGGCUGCUCCUAGUACGAGAGGACCGGAGUGGACGCAUCACUGGUGUUCGGGUUGUCAUGCCAAUGGCACUGCCCGGUAGCUAAAUGCGGAAGAGAUAAGUGCUGAAAGCAUCUAAGCACGAAACUUGCCCCGAGAUGAGUUCUCCCUGACCCUUUAAGGGUCCUGAAGGAACGUUGAAGACGACGACGUUGAUAGGCCGGGUGUGUAAGCGCAGCGAUGCGUUGAGCUAACCGGUACUAAUGAACCGUGAGGCUUAACCUUACAACGCCGAAGCUGUU
rnacentral:rRNA from 1 species